UACGUAGGGCGCGAGCGUUGUCCGGAUUUAUUGGGCGUAAAGAGCUCGUAGGCGGCUCGUUGCGUCGGCUGUGAAAACCCGCAGCUCAACUGUGGGCUUGCAGCUGAUACGGGCGGGCUGGGAUUCGGUAGGGGAGACUGGAAUUCCUGGUGUAGCGGUGAAAUGCGUAGAUAUCGGGAGGAACACCAGUGGCGAAGGCGGCGAUCUGGGAAGAUACUGACGCUGAGGUGCGAAAGCGUGGGGAGCAAACAGG
rnacentral:rRNA from 1 species